AUGCUAUACGAUCGACGCCGGCUCCAUACCCUGGUUGGAACGAGUUUGGGAAUGAGGUUUUCAAAAAAACCCUUUCCCAAACCCUAUCCCAGGGGUGGUGAGUGUGUGACCUCACUUCCUCUUGGAAGGGAGGAGCUAAUAACUCCUUGCGAAGAGCUCCCGGCUCGGAGCAAUAACUCGGAACUCCUUGCGCAGAGCUCCCGGCUCGGAGCAAGAAACAAGGAGCUCAUAUCAGAUUCCGAAGGAAAUAGUAGCUUCGCCUGGUUAUCCUCACUUACUGACUCGCUAGGGGAAGGAAGAGAGGAUUUCGUUGCUUAUCUUCCAAGACCGGACCCCGUUCGUUAA